rnacentral:rRNA from 1 species
AGUGAACGCUGGCGGUAGGCCUAACACAUGCAAGUCGAACGGCAGCACAGUAAGAGCUUGCUCUUACGGGUGGCGGGUGGCGGACGGGUGAGGAAUGCAUCGGAAUCUACUUUUUCGUGGGGGAUAACGUAGGGAAACUUACGCUAAUACCGCAUACGACCUACGGGUGAAAGCAGGGGAUCUUCGGACCUUGCGCGAUUGAAUGAGCCGAUGUCGGAUUAGCUAGUUGGCGGGGUAAAGGCCCACCAAGGCGACGAUCCGUAGCUGGUCUGAGAGGAUGAUCAGCCACACUGGAACUGAGACACGGUCCAGACUCCUACGGGAGGCAGCAGUGGGGAAUAUUGGACAAUGGGCGCAAGCCUGAUCCAGCCAUACCGCGUGGGUGAAGAAGGCCUUCGGGUUGUAAAGCCCUUUUGUUGGGAAAGAAAAGCAGCAGGUUAAUACCCCGCUGUUCUGACGGUACCCAAAGAAUAAGCACCGGCUAACUUCGUG